ensembl:lncRNA NPSR1-AS1 NPSR1 antisense RNA 1
UCUAGGACUCAGAAAUAUAGAUGUUAGUAAGAGCAAACAGACAUAACAGAUAACACAUACAAAGUGCCUACCACAUGCUAACCACUGCUGCAGGCACUUUCUAUAGAAGAACUAAUUUAAUCAUCACCAUAACCCUAUGGGGUAGAUGAUAUUUUUACAACCUCCAUUUUACAGAUGAAGAAACUGAAGCAUAGACCUGCUUAUGUGAGAAGAAACGCAGGGAGACAGUUCAGUCACUGCAAUCUUCAUGCCCAUCAGUUUCUUGUGAGAAGAAAACAAGACUGGCAACGCCUGCUUCCUCCUCUGAGCUGUCAAGUAGGAAGUCCGGGCUGCUCUGCUAGAAAGAGAAGUCAUGUGCAGGAGCACUGAGGCAUCCCAGGUGUGACACUCUUCCACCUAGAGCAUUCCGUCUCUCAUCCUCUGCCAUGUGCCAUGUUUUGAACCACUAGAUUAGAGGGUCAAGCAAUUUCUUGGAAUUUUACUCUGAAUUCUACGUAGACCAUUUUCAUGUGUAUACCUCCUCUGAGUCACCCUCAGGUAGGGACAUUUU